GAGUUUGAUCGUGGCUCAGAUUGAACGCUGGCGGUAUGCUUGACACAUGCAAGUCGAACGGUAACAGGAGAGAGCUUGCUCUUUUGCUGACGAGUGGCGGACGGGUGAGUAAUGCGUAGGAAUCUGCCUAGUAGUGGGGGACAACGUGUGGAAACGCACGCUAAUACCGCAUACGCCCUACGGGGGAAAGCGGGGGAUCUUCGGACCUCGCGCUAUUAGAUGAGCCUACGUUAGAUUAGCUAGUUGGUGGGUAAAGGCCUACCAAGGCGACGAUCUAUAGCUGGUCUGAGAGGAUGAUCAGCCACACUGGGACUGAGACACGGCCCAGACUCCUACGGGAGGCAGCAGUGGGGAAUAUUGGACAAUGGGCGAAAGCCUGAUCCAGCAAUACCGCGUGUGUGAAGAAGGCCUGAGGGUUGUAAAGCACUUUCAAUUGUGAGAAAUAUUUAAGGUUAAUAACCUUAAAUUUUAGACGUUAACUUUAGUAAGAAGACACCGGCUAACUCCGUGCCAGCCGCCGCCGUAAGACG
rnacentral:rRNA from 1 species